rnacentral:lncRNA from 7 species
AAAAGCCACUUUUACUAGCACAUGCUAACAGGUUUUUUUGCAAACAUUUGGCCAACUGAGAGCAGCAGCAGUAAAAACCAAACACGUGCAUCCCUUACAUGGACGUCAUUCCCCCCUGCCCAAACUGGAGUUCUUGUCCCAAAGCACCACAGUGACAAAAAUGACCUCACAGAGCCAUCUCAGAGAGCAGUUGGAUGUGGGUGCAACACCACCACAACCCAACCCUGGUUUCAAAGAAGAUGCGCUCCUCUGAAUUAAGUUCCCCAGAGAGAAUUAAACCUUGAGCCCAACAAGAAGAGAUUCAGCCUAAAUACAGUUAAGGUUUGUCAAAGUUAGACAGUUAGAAACAGGGAGAAAAACUUGGGGGCACCGGGGAAAGCCCCGAGUCCUGUUCAUUAACACCAAGAAACGGUGCGCAGGUCAUCAGCGGGGCACAACAGCUUGGUGACGGAAGCCAGACUUGCCUGGUGCCAGAUACCAAGACAGCAUGACUGCAGGCAGUACAUCAGGUCCCACGCUCGCAGAAAACCACCGCAGUGAUGCCUGAAGAGAACUUCAUGUAGAAACUCAGAGCUUUUCUCCAUACUCGGUGACCGGGGACAGCACUGAGCUGACCAAUGCAACACCACAGCUGUUCUGUAAGUGACUUUGCUAUCAUUCUCCACGACCAUUCCAGCAUUGCUCAGUGGAUAUUGCAUCGGGGAGAGCUUUGUGCUGGCAAACAGAAACCAAAGAAAUAAACACCUCUGUGCAACGAAAACAUCUCCAUUGCGUCUGAAGUAUGUGAGUACACAGCGUGGGGAUCUGCAAGUGAUGUGUCAGCACGUGCAAGUAACACAAGGGGCUGUGUGUUUCUUCACUCUGCGCUUUCACCGCUUCUCACAAGCGUGUCACUGCAGUUGUCCCCCAGCAGUUUAAGUACAGAUGUAAGGUGGGAACAGACCAAUUAGCAAUUCCAGCACGGAAACACCGCUCUUA